GACGAACGCUGGCGGCGUGCUUAACACAUGCAAGUCGAACGCUGAAGCUCAGCUUUUGUUGGGUGGAUGAGUGGCGAACGGGUGAGUAACACGUGAGUAACCUGCCCCCUUCUUUGGGAUAACGCCCGGAAACGGGUGCUAAUACUGGAUAUUCACUGGUCUUCGCAUGGGGGUUGGUGGAAAGGGUUUUUCUGGUGGGGGAUGGGCUCGCGGCCUAUCAGCUUGUUGGUGGGGUGAUGGCCUACCAAGGCUUUGACGGGUAGCCGGCGUGAGAGGGUGACCGGUCACAUUGGGACUGAGAUACGGCCCAGACUCCUACGGGAGGCAGCAGUGGGGAAUAUGGCACAAUGGGCGCAAGCCUGAUGCAGCGACGCCGCGUGAGGGAUGGAGGCCUUCGGGUUGUGAACCUCUUUCGCUCAUGGUCAAGCCGCAACAAUGGUUGUGGUGAGGGUAGUGGGUAAAGAAGCGCCGGCUAACUACGUG
rnacentral:rRNA from 1 species